rnacentral:lncRNA from 1 species
CAAGAAUGCCCAGGAAACUACUGUGCAGAUCCUGAUUAGACGGAGGUGCUGAUCUUUGCUUUUCAUCUUAUGAAUGGGGAAACUGAAGCAUGAUGGAAUAAAAAGGAGAUUAAGUGAGAAGUCAGAGAGGAGACUCCACACCCAGAGCACAAGAGUCAGCAUUUAAUAUCUGUACCCACAGUAUUUUUUUCCCAACUUAUAAAUGCUCUCAAGAAAGAGAAC